rnacentral:rRNA from 1 species
AGCAUGGGUAGCGAACAGGAUUAGAUACCCUGGUAGUCCAUGCCGUAAACGAUGAAUGCUAGGUGUUGGAGGGUUUCCGCCCUUCAGUGCCGCAGCUAACGCAUUAAGCAUUCCGCCUGGGGAGUACGACCGCAAGGUUGAAACUCAAAGGAAUUGACGGGGGCCCGCACAAGCGGUGGAGCAUGUGGUUUAAUUCGAAGCAACGCGAAGAACCUUACCAGGUCUUGACAUCUUUUGAUCACCUGAGAGAUCAGGUUUCCCCUUCGGGGGCAAAAUGACAGGUGGUGCAUGGUUGUCGUCAGCUCGUGUCGUGAGAUGUUGGGUUAAGUCCCGCAACGAGCGCAACCCUUAUGACUAGUUGCCAGCAUUUAGUUGGGCACUCUAGUAAGACUGCCGGUGACAAACCGGAGGAAGGUGGGGAUGACGUCAAAUCAUCAUGCCCCUUAUGACCUGGGCUACACACGUGCUACAAUGGAUGGUACAACGAGUUGCGAGACCGCGAGGUCAAGCUAAUCUCUUAAAGCCAUUCUCAGUUCGGACUGUAGGCUGCAACUCGCCUACACGAAGUCGGAAUCGCUAGUAAUCGCGGAUCAGCACGCCGCGGUGAAUACGUUCCCGGGCCUUGUACACACCGCCCGUCACACCAUGAGAGUUUGUAACACCCGAAGCCGGUGGCGUAACCCUUUAG